UUCGUGGUUCAAUCUGAGCGCGCUCCGAGAAUAAAUACUAUUAUCUCAUUUUAAUAAGACUGGUCCCUGUCUAUUUUAUGCAAAUAAGAAUCUUACAAAUUCUUAGAAACAGACAGAAUGAUUUUAAUUAAUGAACACAUAUAGGAAUUAUUGAAUUCCAUUGACAAUUGGUCCUUUGAGCGGAUUUCUAAACCUGUAGUACGCCGAAAACCGUGCACCGGCAGGUCUGGACCCAUUAUUUAAAGACCUGGCGUCUGAAUUGAGGUUCAAAGAACAGGCCGGUAUAUAUAUAUAUCUAAGGUCGACAGAGACGGUGACGGAUUCUCAUGAACAUUGCUUUUCCCAGUCUGCAAGACGACGUAUACCAAGCAUACAGAGGUAAUCCUGUUGAUUAAAUAGUGGUGGUGAGAAUACGGCUGGAGGAGCUACGCGCACAACCACCACCCACAUAUGUGGAGCCUGCUGGAGCCAACGGAGGGAUAAUAGAGGUAGAGAAAGUUAGGGCACCUGCAAUUUAGGGCCAAGCUUCAUUAUGAGCUCAGACCGAGCAAGCAACGGUCAAGCGGGGCAUCUCGUUGAACUCGGCACAGCCUAGAGAUUAUGGUAAUGCCAUUGCAGGCUCUGCAUGUCUUUAAGCACCGCACUUUGUCACUCCAUCCUUGCUGUGUG